UACGUAGGCAGCAAGCGUUGUUCGGAGUUACUGGGCGUAAAGAGUAUGUAGGCGGUUGCGUAAGUUCGGUGUGAAAUCUCCUGGCUUAACUGGGAGGGUGCGCCGAAAACUGCGUGGCUUGAGUGCGGGAGAGGAGAGCGGAAUUCCUGGUGUAGCGGUGAAAUGCGUAGAUAUCAGGAGGAACACCGGCGGUGUAGACGGCUCUCUGGACCGUAACUGACGCUGAGAUACGAAAGCGUGGGUAGCAAACAGG
rnacentral:rRNA from 1 species